UCAACCCUGAGCCUGCAGUCGAUACGGGCAGACUAGAGUAUGGCAGGGAGACUGGAAUUCCUGGUGUAGCGGUGAAAUGCGCAGAUAUCAGGAGGAACACCGGUGGCGAAGGCGGGUCUCUGGGCCAUAACUGACGCUGAGGAGCGAAAGCGUGGGGAGCGAACAGGAUUAGAUACCCUGGUAGUCCACGCCGUAAACGUUGGGCGCUAGGUGUGGGGUCCCUUCCACGGGCUCCGUGCCGCAGCUAACGCAUUAAGCGCCCCGCCUGGGGAGUACGGCCGCAAGGCUAAAACUCAAAGGAAUUGACGGGGGCCCGCACAAGCGGCGGAGCAUGUGGCUCAAUUCGAUGCAACGCGAAGAACCUUUACCAAGGCUUGACAUGUGCAGAAAUCCGGCAGAGAUGUCGGGUCCGCCAAGGGCUGCGCACAGGUGGUGCAUGGUUGUCGUCAGCUCGUGUCGUGAGAUGUUGGGUUAAGUCCCGCAACGAGCGCAACCCUCGUUCUAUGUUGCCAGCGCGUUAUGGCGGGGACUCAUAGGAGACUGCCGGGGGUCAAACCUCGGAGGAAGGUGGGGAUGACGUCAAAUCAUCAUGCCCCUUAUGUCUUGGGCUG
rnacentral:rRNA from 1 species